rnacentral:misc_RNA from 1 species
AGCUUCAUGAAGAGGGGAAACUCUUAGAAAUAGUGGAUCCAGAGAUGGGAGAUUUUCCUGAGGAAGAAGUGGUAAGAUACAUAAAAGUAGCCUUUUUCUGCACCCAGGGAACAGCAAGCCGGAGGCCACUCAUGAGCCAGGUUGUUGACAUGCUUUCAAGGAACAUCCGGCUUAAUGAGAAGCUACUUUCAGCGCCGGGUUUCUUCCAAGAUUCAGUAGGCGUCAGUGGGCCAUCAUUUUCAACUAAAAAGUCAUCUGCUGACUCUUCUGCUAGCAACCAGAUGAGCUCUGUUCCUGUCACAAUCACUGAGGUGACCCCCAGAUGAACAGGUUUAUUUUUUUUAUUUAUUUUUAUUACUAUGGAUACUUAUGUAUUGGUAAGAGCUUUCAACUGGAAAAUGGGAAAAAUUAGUUAGUAGGCACAUUCAUAUACUUCAUUACUCAGUAAAGUGGCAAAUUAUAUUGAAUGCUGAAGGUGAUGAUGUGAGGCAAUUAUUUGUAUGGUUAUUAGGCGU